UAAAUAACUUAAUCCACACUUAACUCUUCCCCUACUGUACUCUAGAUAAUAAUUUGCUUAUCGUUUUCCCUCAGGCGAACUCAGUACACGUUCAGUGAUGACGAGGAGGAGAAAAGAGUUGUCAGGCCAGAGAAAGAAAAACGUUAUGAUGAGAUCAAGGAGGUCAUUCAGUCGCUCAAGAACAGUGUCAAGAUCAAAGAUGUAGCAAAAGUGCAAACAUGUUUUGAUGGUUUACAGAAAGUCUUUCUUAAAGCAAAGGCUGUGAUUGACAAAGAACCUGAGACCCCACGAUUCUACAUUCGAGCUUUGAUGGAGCUCGAGGAUUUUGUUAAGGAGAACCAGCUCCAGUGAAGAAAGAGAAAGACGCUAAAUCAAAACCUAAAACUGAGGGUGAGUCUGAUUCCGAUGACAGCAUGGACUGGGACAUGACAGAAUCCAGUUCCAGUUCUAGCAAGGCUGAGGAAGGCACUGGAACCACCUACCACUAUACUGCCGACUACUUCCUCAAAAGGUGGGCGUGGCAUACAGGGUUUAAUCUAGGAUAAACAGUUUGAGGAGGAAGGUUUGGGCGCAGACAAGAAUGUGCAGGAGAGCAAGACGCGUAAGAGACGAGAGGAGAGAAUCAGGAAACCCAUCGCUCCCGACGAUGACGAUGAGGACUGGGAGACAGUCACCAGACUCGGCAAGCAGAUGACCAUACAGGACAGGACCAAGAUGCUGUUUGGCAAAGAUGUUGAGGUGGGGCAUGACGUCAUCAAGAGAAAAAGAGACGAAUUUAUGAUGAAUCGCGGAAAAAGACAACCGAUCGUACACAGACCACGUUAACCCCUCGUGGCUCCAGGGAGAAAAGACGGUGGCAGACUUUAUCUAUCGAGUACAAUUGUACGUUGAGAGGAAGUUUGAGAACUCUUGUCUGGACCUUCUUUGUAGGAUCUAUAUACGCACCAUCGAGCACGCCUACUACAAGUCUGACACCACAUGUACCUGGCAGCAGUGGCCGUGGCAGUUCUCUGUUUACACUACUCACAGACCAACAGAGACCUUACACUUUAGCGUUGAGUAGCUAGCUUGAUCUGUAUCAUUAUUUAUCAUAUAAUUAUACUGUACUGUUGUCAAUAAUUUAUGUUUUGCAAUAUAAAUGUAAAGAAUUUUGGAA